rnacentral:rRNA from 1 species
UACGUAGGGUGCGAGCGUUGUCCGGAUUUAUUGGGCGUAAAGAGCUCGUAGGCGGUUUGUUAAGUCAGGGGUGAAAUCCCAGAGCUCAACUCUGGAACUGCCUUUGAUACUGGCAAGCUAGAGUCCGGAAGAGGUAAGUGGAACUCCUAGUGUAGAGGUGGAAUUCGUAGAUAUUAGGAAGAACACCAGUGGCGAAGGCGGCUCACUGGUCCGGUACUGACGCUGAGGUGCGAAAGCGUGGGGAGCAAACAGG